CUGGGUUGGAUGAGUGGCGAACGGGUGAGUAACACGUGAGUAACCUGCCCUCUUCUUUGGGAUAACGGUCGGAAACGGCUGCUAAUACCGGGUAUUCACUGUCCUUCGCAUGGGGGGUGGUGGAAAGGUUUUUUCUGGUGGGGGAUGGGCUCGCGGCCUAUCAGCUUGUUGGUGGGGUGAUGGCUUACCAAGGCUUUGACGGGUAACCGGCCUGAGAGGGUGACCGGUCACAUUGGGACUGAGAUACGGCCCAG
rnacentral:rRNA from 1 species